CUUCCCCUUUUUUGCUCUAGAGCCAUAGCUUUUAGCUGGCAAUUUCCACUGCUAUAAUCUGAUGGAAAGUGAUAAAAUGCAUCAGACUGCAGUACUCAAAUGAGAAAACACUCCAGAUUAGUAGGAAUAUAAUUAUGUUUUUCAUGACAUUGAUUUUUUAUUUUCUAACUGAUAAAAGUAAACAACUGGGGGGGGGAGGGGAAGAGUGCCGAAAAACAACAUUUAGACUUUAGUGAGAUAAUUAACUCAGCAAUUAAACAUAUUUUGUAUUCAGCAUUUGUCCUCCAUAGCACACAGCAUAUGUGACGUUUGUCCUUUAUUCAAAUUCUUCUUGCAAUCUUCUUUGUCAGCAGGAGUGGCAGCCGGCAAGAGUCCUGUAAGAAGGCCCACUUCCAUGGCGCUUUACUUGAAAGAUGAAUAUUCACAGCUAUGGCUUGGAAGGGAAGAGGCAGCCAAAAGGAAUCAUUAAGCUGAGCUAAAUGAGCAGAACUGAGAGGCAAGGCCAUACUCAAUCUCCUUAAAAUUAUCAGUGGGAAGUAACAGGGCCUGGAAAGCAGAAGGUCCAGCCAAAGCUUGCCUGUGAGUACAUGGCAAAGCUCAGACUGGAAGACAGAUGUUACUCGAUCCUUCUCUCAUUUGAUAAGCAGCAGCUCAGGUCGACGCUGCUCUGAACUUUGGAGAUGAUCUGCCUGCUAAGCUAUAGCACAUUUAUGAUUUGUGGGUUUCUAGUCUGACUUGGCUCCAUUUUUUAACUUUUCAUUUUCUUUUUAGGCACCCAAACUGCUCACUAGGUUUGGCAGCUGAUGGCUAUUAACUGUUACACUCCAAUAACCUGGGGAUAGUUAGAAGAGCAUUAAAUAUUUGCACUGUGCAGGAAGGCUAUACUUCAUCUCAGUACACACGAAUCCCAUGCUCUUUUCACACUGGAAGAAAACCCACCUUAUUGCUAUUCAAAUCUAUCUGUCUGUCUCUUCCUAUGCUGUCAUUAUGCAUGCAAGGCCUGUCAGUGCCAUUGACACAAAAAAACCCUCUCCCUUUAUGCCAACACCAGUGACACCUGAAAAAAAAGCCCACAACCAAGAUACGGGAGAAUUACUGCUUUUUACAUUUUUGUUUAUUUGGCCCUCAUUUUCUAAUAAAGCACCUUAUAGCAUCCCUCUAUAAAGGUAUUUCUCCCACCCUGCAAGGGUGAGCUCUUCCUGCAGGAACAGGUUAUAGAUAGAUGUAUAUGAAAGUAGGUUUUGGUAACUGAAGUUUAUCCCUGG
ensembl:lncRNA